AUAAUUGACAAAGGACUAAUUUCGAAUUAAGCUAUACUCGACGGACCAAAACUAUAUUUUGCAAAAAAACCAUCGAACAAUUGCUUUUGGAAGAAUCAGACUUGUUGAAGUGGACUGUGGACUCGAAAUUCGCCGUCUUUCGAGCUUCGCCGGAGCCAUGGAAGCAUUAGCAAAGCUGGAGAGACUCCAGACUGACUCCUCCAGCGCAUCCAUUCACUAUCGCUGCAAAAGAAACGUUCUGUGAGGCUGGAUCCUGAGGAGAUAUCAGCAAAGCUGACUGGUUAUGAAAACACAACGCAGUCACAUGUAUUGGCAUGAGGACCUACAUACCGGUACUCUGUCUCUCUGUUUUUUCGCUGUAAUUGUCAUAAUGUUUCCCAAGAUUCUUCUGCUUACAGUUUCACAUAUGAGUUGUUCCCAUGUCACUUUUCACAUUAGUUAUUGAAAUGUUGUGCAGCUCGUCAAAGUCAUUACAUUCUCUAAUGCAGCUGCUGAUAGUAGCUAAUGCCAUAUCGGCUAGCUUCUGAGUUGCUUCGAAUAAAAGCCAAGAUUAGGUGAAUAACACGGUUAUGAAGGUUAUAACUUGACUAGAACACUUCUGUUGCAAAUUAUUGAUUCCUCCUACGUAUUGUUGGUUAAAACACACAAUAUCUGUCUUUCUUGCCUCCUGCACUCAUUUGCAUCACAUCAAGGUAUAUUAUCUAGUGCAACCUUCUUGUCCAUUGCUGUUUGCUGUAGCUUGAGCAAAUUGGGCCCUGCUAGUUGCCAGGGUCAGUUCCUGUCACUCUCUUGCUUACACCAAUUGCUAAUAAUAUGUGAUACAUGUUGAGGGGUCCCUAUUUUUCCACUUUUAGACGAAAAGUGGACUAUUUGGUAUGUGUUUUACUCUCCGUCAUUCUCUUCAAUAAAUGGACUCUAUGCUAUUCAUUGUGCCAGCUGUGCUACUGCUCACUGUUCCUAAAAUCUGUAUCUGUCAAUGUUGUUGAUCUAGAUGUGCAGCCUGCCAGUUUUUCUCACUUUGUAAUGACCUCACAUUAGAGGCCACUUCAAUUACCCUUUCGCCUACAAUUAAAUUGCAUAUAAGAAGCUUUCCUUUUUGCAACUAGUAGGCAGCAGAGGAAAGGCCACCGCGACUUGUUCAACAACUAACGAAUUAUGUUUAGCUGAAAAAAGCUAACCUUUUAAAGUGAUAGGUGAUUUUGGAUGAAGCAAUCACCAACCUCAAUCCUGACUUCUUCUGGUUUGGAGUUGAUGAGAUUGAUCUUAAACUGGGGAUCAGAAUUCAUCAAUUUCGUGAAACCAUUCAUUGUCAACUGUAGUGAAAAAUCCCCUCAAUUAGUUUCCAGGCUGUGUGACGUGAUUGUGAUUCGUCAAUAGUUGGGUCUGUCCCUCUUGCAUUGUGAUCUCUGGUUAAAGAUAGAGGGAUCCCAACCAUCCUACGACAUCCCUGGUGGUAGAAUGAUCAACAUAGUUGCCACAUCUCAAUACUGAUUGAUUGCAAAAGGAUAGAACUGCAGCUGCAAGCCCAAUUGUCCUGCGCUCAGGUUCUUAUAUAUAGAAUUAUGUUCGUAUAAUUUUAAACUGAUUUUCCCCUUCCUGUUUUCUGUAAUGCGAUCAGUGAUGAGAGCAAUUGCUUAUUCUCUUUUUAUUGAUGUUUGAAUUUGGGAUCUUUUCUAGUUAGGUGUUAGCUUUAAACAAUUGUAUGAAUUUCCUCUUAAAAAAGACCAUUUCUAGAUGCAAAAUAGAAAAAAUUAGGUAUGACAUUUGAGGUCA